rnacentral:rRNA from 1 species
AACUGCGAGUGAAGCGGGAAAAGCUCAAAUUUAAAAUCUGGUGGUCUUUGGCCAUCCGAGUUGUAAUUUAGAGAAGCGUCUUCCGCGCCGGACCGUGCACAAGUCUCCUGGAAUGGAGCGUCAUAGAGGGUGAGAAUCCCGUCUUUGGCACGGAUGCCUGGUGCUUCUGUGAUGCGCUCUCGAAGAGUCGAGUUGUUUGGGAAUGCAGCUCAAAAUGGGUGGUGAACUCCAUCUAAAGCUAAAUAUUGGCGAGAGACCGAUAGCGAACAAGUACCGUGAGGGAAAGAUGAAAAGCACUUUGGAAAGAGAGUGAAACAGUACGUGAAAUUGUUGAAAGGGAAACGCUUGAAGUCAGUCGCGUCGACCGAGACUCAGCCUUGCCUCGGCUUGGUGUACUUCUCGGCCCGACGGGUCAGCGUCAAUUUUGCCCCUCGGAUAAUGGCAAGGGAAAGGUGGCACCUUUACGGGUGUGUUAUAGUCUCCUGUCGCAUGCGAGGGGUGGGAUUGAGGAACUCAGCGCGCACCUUGGUGUCGGGGCUUCG